AAGAGUAACAGCAGUCCAUUUAGACUCUGUGUCCAUCUCUCUCCUACCUGUGCUUGCCUUCCAGUACCUUUCAUACCUUCUAAAAUGGCCUCUCAUUCAUCAGGAGAGUUUGAGGGUUCACAGUUUUUUAGAUCAAACUCUGAAGAUAAAGAAGGAUGGGAACUUAUACUUUUAGGAAUGCUGUCAUUAGAAAAAAAGAACAUUGAAGAUUGAUCAUGUUCCUUAUCAGACACCUUCUGUAUCAGCUUAAUAGAAGCGACUUCACUAACAAGCGAUGAUGGUCAACCUAUUCACAACUGUUUCUACUGGUUUUUUUCCUCAAGUAAAGAAUAUAAUAGAAAACCUGUCAGUCCAAAAUCCUAGGUCCCUGUAAAUAUCAUAUAAAAUCAUUAUGACAUAAUCAUUCAAGCUUCCCUCCAAAACUUCUCUCAUCGAUUUAUAUUAAUUUGACAGUUUCUUCUAGGAAAUUUCUUGAGAUGAGAAAACAAACUUUCCUAGUAAGUUGCCCUUAGGUUUUCAGAAUCCAGACAAAGACGUGUAGGUUAAGUUUUAUAGCUUGUACUGCAGUACCUUCUGCAUAUUUGGUUCGUGUGUGUGUGUGUGUGUGUGUGUGUAAACUUUCAGGCAUAUCCAUCCUGUCCAACACCUAACCAUCCUCUACUCUCUCCACUCUCAUAUGGAGGAAUUUUUUAAUAUGCUCACAACAUAUUUCUUCAAGAAAAAUAAGAUCAUUUAAAUGCAAAGUUGUCACUGAGAUAUCUUGGUCAAUUUUUUGAGUACUCA
rnacentral:lncRNA from 12 species